rnacentral:rRNA from 1 species
ACGAACGCUGGCGGCGUGCCUAAUACAUGCAAGUCGAACGCUUCUUUCCUCCCGAGUGCUUGCACUCAAUUGGAAAGAGGAGUGGCGGACGGGUGAGUAACACGUGGGUAACCUACCCAUCAGAGGGGGAUAACACUUGGAAACAGGUGCUAAUACCGCAUAACAGUUUAUGCCGCAUGGCAUAAGAGUGAAAGGCGCUUUCGGGUGUCGUUGAUGGAUGGACCCGCGGUGCAUUAGCUAGUUGGUGAGGUAACGGCUCACCAAGGCCACGAUGCAUAGCCGACCUGAGAGGGUGAUCGGCCACACUGGGACUGAGACACGGCCCAGACUCCUACGGGAGGCAGCAGUAGGGAAUCUUCGGCAAUGGACGAAAGUCUGACCGAGCAACGCCGCGUGAGUGAAGAAGGUUUUCGGAUCGUAAAACUCUGUUGUUAGAGAAGAACAAGGACGCUAGUAACUGAACGUCCCCUGACGGUAUCUAACCAGAAAGCCACGGCUAACUACGUG